rnacentral:rRNA from 1 species
UACGGAGGGUGCAAGCGUUAUCCGGAUUCACUGGGUUUAAAGGGUGCGUAGGUGGAUUAGUAAGUCAGUGGUGAAAUCUCCGGGCCUAACCCGGAAACUGCCAUUGAUACUAUUAGUCUUGAAUACCGUGGAGGUCAGCGGAAUAUGUCAUGUAGCGGUGAAAUGCUUAGAUAUGACAUAGAACACCAAUUGCGAAGGCAGCUGGCUACACGAGCAUUGACACUCAGGCACGAAAGCGUGGGGAUCAAACAGG